GAUGUGCCCAGAUGGGAUUAGCUAGUUGGUGAGGUAACGGCUCACCAAGGCGACGAUCCCUAGCUGGUCUGAGAGGAUGACCAGCCACACUGGAACUGAGACACGGUCCAGACUCCUACGGGAGGCA
rnacentral:rRNA from 1 species